GAUGAACGCUGGCGGCGUGCCUAAUACAUGCAAGUCGAGCGAACAGACGAGGAGCUUGCUCCUCUGACGUUAGCGGCGGACGGGUGAGUAACACGUGGAUAACCUACCUAUAAGACUGGGAUAACUUCGGGAAACCGGAGCUAAUACCGGAUAAUAUAUUGAACCGCAUGGUUCAAUAGUGAAAGACGGUUUUGCUGUCACUUAUAGAUGGAUCCGCGCCGCAUUAGCUAGUUGGUAAGGUAACGGCUUACCAAGGCAACGAUGCGUAGCCGACCUGAGAGGGGGACCGGCAACACUGAAACGAGGAAACGGUCAAAACUCCUAGGGGAGGAAGCGGUGGGAAAUCUCCGGAAAUGGGCGAAAGCCGACCGGAGCAACGCGGGGUGGGUAAUAAGGGCCUCCGGAUCGUAAAACUCUGUUAUAAGGAAGAACAAAUGUGUAAGUAACUAUGCACGUCUUGACGGUACCUAAUCAGAAAGCCACGGCUAACUACGUG
rnacentral:rRNA from 1 species